rnacentral:rRNA from 1 species
GAUUUCUGGCCUUUGGCGCUUGGCCCGCCUCGAAAGAGUGUGUGUUGCCGACGUGUCUAGGUCAUCCUUCUGGAGAACGCCUCUGCCCUUUGCUGGGUUGGGGGUGGGAUCCAGAUCGUUUACUUUGAAAAAAUUAGAGUGUUCAAAGCAGGCUUUACGCUGUGAAUACAUUAGCAUGGAAUAAUAAGAUAGGGCUUUGGUACUAUUUUGUUGGUUUCUAGGACCAAAGUAAUGAUUGAUAGGGACAGUUGGGGGUGCUAGUAUUCAAUGGCCAGAGGUGAAAUUCUCGGAUUCAUUGAAGACUAACAAAUGCGAAAGCAUU